GUUCUCCAAGUCCCCACUAGACUUAGGAGCCCAGCUGGCUUCACUUAGUGGAUCCUGCACAAGGGCCCCAGGUGGAGCUGCCUGCUAGUCCCUCCCAGUGCGCACGCACUCCUCAGCCCUUGGGCCGUCAAUGGGACCGGGCGCCAGGGAGCAGGGGGCGGCGCUCAUUGGGGAGGCUCAGACAGCCCAGGAGCCCACAGGGGUGGGGAGGCUCAGGCAUGGCUGGCUGCAGGUCCUGAGCCCCACCCCGCGGGGGUGCAGCUGAGGCCCGGCGAGAAUUCCAGCGCAGCGCAGCGCUGGCGGGCCGGCACUGCUGGGGGACCCGGCUCACCCUCCGCAGCUGCUGGCCCAGGUGCUAAGCCCUUCACUGCCUGGGGCUGGCGGCGCCGGCCGCUCAGAGUGUGGGCCGCGGAGCCCACGCCUACCCGGAACUCACGCUCGCCCUGGAGAGCGGGUGUGCAGCCCCAGUUCCCGCCCGCGCCUCUCCCUCCACACCUCUCUGCAAGCAGAGGGAGACGGCUCCAGCCUCAGCCAGCCCAGAGACGGGGUCCCACAGUGCAGCGGCAGGCUGAAGGGCUCCUCAAGCGUGGCCCGAGGAGACGCCAAGGCCCAGGAAGCGCUGAGAGCGAGAGACGGCCGCCAGCACGUUGUCACCUCUCACAGUGACCUUGGCAGAUGCGUGGAUGCUGACGAAAAUUGUACAAGAGAAUUUAUGAACAAAAACAAAAGAGACAAAUGGCGAAAAAUAUUUGAAGUACUUUUUCUUGGGCUGGCUCUUCUCCAAAUGACAACUGAUAAUUAGGUUUCAGGAGCUGAAAAGGGUCUGGAUUUUACCCUACUUGAAAGAUAACAGCUUUUCACAGUUUCAUGGAUGCUGACAGAAGACAGGAUUUCUGGAUCAGAGAAAGGCGGUGCAGUAGUCCCCUCUUAGCUGAGGAAAAUACGUUUCAAGAUGCCCAGUGGUUGCCUGAAAUCACAGAUAGUACCAAACUCUACCUAUGCUAUGUUUUCUCCUAUGCAUACACACCUAUGGUAAAGUUGAAGUUAUAAAUUAGGCACAGUAAGAGAUUAAUAACAAUGACUAAUAAUAAAACACAGCAAUUAUAACAAUAUACUGCAGUAAAAGUUGUGGGAACAUUUUCUCCCGGAAUGUCCAUUUAAUAUUCAUGAACCACAGUUAAUGCCGGUAACUGAAACUGAAAACAAAACUUCAGGUAAGCGGGGAAUACUGUAUUAC
rnacentral:lncRNA from 10 species